UAUUAAAAAUUUAAUUUAAAAUAUUUAAGUAGUAUUAGUUAAGGUCUUUAAAUUUAAAAAAUUUGGCGGUAUUUUAGUCUAUUCAGAGGAACCUGUUUUGUAAUCGAUAAUCCACGAUGGAUCUUACUUAAAUUUAUUUUAGUUUAUAUAUCGUCGUUAUAAGAAUAUUUUAUAAGAAUAAUAAUUUUCUUGAUUUUUUAUUUUAAAAUAUAUCAGAUCAAGAUGUAGCUUAUGUUUAAGUUUAUAAUGGGUUACAUUUAUUAUAAUAUUGGAAAUUAAUAUGUAAUUUAUUUUUUAAAAUUGGAUUUGAUAGUAAAUUUAUAUAGAUUAAUAAAUUGAUUAUAGCUCUAAAAUAUGU
rnacentral:rRNA from 1 species